GACGAACGCUGGCGGCGUGCUUAACACAUGCAAGUCGAACGGAAAGGCUCAGCUUGCUGGGUGCUCGAGUGGCGAACGGGUGAGUAACACGUGGGUGAUCUGCCCUGCACUUUGGGAUAAGCCUGGGAAACUGGGUCUAAUACCGAAUAUACCGUCCUGGCUGCAUGGUUGGGGUGGGAAAGCUUUUGCGGUGUGGGAUGGGCCCGCGGCCUAUCAGCUUGUUGGUGGGGUGAUGGCCUACCAAGGCUGCGACGGGUAGCCGGCCUGAGAGGGUGUC
rnacentral:rRNA from 1 species